rnacentral:rRNA from 1 species
AUACGGAAGGUCCGGGCGUUAUCCGGAUUUAUUGGGUUUAAAGGGAGCGCAGGCGGAGAUGCAAGCGUGACGUCAAAUUUCGGGGCUCAACCCCGUCUCGCGUCGCGAACUGCGUCCCUUGGUUGCGGGAAGGGGAGGCGGAACUCGUGGUGUAGCGGUGAAAUGCAUAGAUAUCACGAAGAACUCCGAUCACGAAGGCAGCCUUCCGGCCCGUCAACGACGCUCAUGCUCGAAGGUGCGGGUAUCAAACAUGAUUAGAUACCCUGGUAGUCCGCACAGUAAACGAUGGACACCCGCGGUUUGGCCUGUAUGGCUGAGCCGCCAAGCGAAAGCGUUAAGUGUCCCACCUGGGGAGUACGCCGGCAACGGUGAAACUCAAAUGAAUUGACGGG